CUAACUACCGUGCCAGCAGCCGCGGUAAUACGGAGGGUGCGAGCGUUAAUCGGAAUUACUGGGCGUAAAGACGCAUGCAGGCGGCCUGUUAAGUCAGAUGUGAAAGACCCGGGGCGUUAACCUCGGAAUUGCAUUUGUAAACUAGGCAGGCUAGAGUCUUGUAGAGGGGGGGUAGGAAGUUUCAGGUGUAGCGGUGAAAUAGCGUAGAGAUCUGAAGGAAUACCAGUGGCGAAGGCGGCCCCCUCGGACAAAGACUGACGCUCAGAUGCGAAAGCGUGGGGAGCAAACAGGAUUAGAUACCCUGGUAG
rnacentral:rRNA from 1 species